rnacentral:lncRNA from 1 species
AUUGCGCUGCAGGUCAUUAUAUACUUUGUGUAACAUUUGCCACCAAAUAUAAAUUUCAGUUCCCCAUUUCAAGUUUAAUAUGAUGAUAAUAUAUACUUGGAAAUAUUGGAAUGUGAAAAGCAGAUAGUACAUGCCUACUAUGUAACCUUGUCUUGGUACUUUUAAUAAUUAAUGGUUAUCACUCCUAAACUUUGGGUAUAAAUGUUCACAUUGCUAUAAUUUUGUUCACAUUUUUCUUUAUAAAUAUCAGUAAACUGAGCAUGUUUAUGAGCUUGCAACAUUAGGACUGAAUGGCAGUCCCUCAAUCAGUUAUUUGCCUUCAUGACAAAUUGAUUGCAAAAUAAUGCAAAAGCUUCUUGAAAAAAAAUGCCAAUGAGGUUCUCACAGGAAAGUAUAUUGGAACAAGGGAUUCGACUUCAUUUUCUAAGUGAAUCCAGUAAAUUCAUGGUACUCGGUUUGAAUUACGAAGUCUUGAGCUGCUUGCUUUCCAAUGUAGCAGUAUUGCCACAAAGGUAGCCAACAAGUUACCCAAAUGAUGUGAAUGCUCUUGAACAGAUAAACUAGGAUACUGUGAGUCUUCAUAUGCAUAUUUAGUAAAUGACCACUCCAAGGUUAUUUGUGUUUGACAUAAUAGGGUUCAAAGAAUUGAAUUUAUGGGUACAUUUAUCAACCAAAUAUAGUGACAAUUUUCCUUACAUGAAGAAUAUGUGACACUCACCUAAGAGAAUGGAUUUGAAAUAUUAGUCAUCUACAUGACACCUGUGCUAACUCGAUGUAUCCUAGAAGUUUAAAAGCAGUUUCAGAAUGCUGUCUUUAGAAUAUCUUCCAAGUACUAUUUGAUAUUUGUUCAUUUUGUGUGCCUACAAUGGAUGCUAAUGUCACCCAGAUAUUAAAGCUAACAAUCACAAAAGUAGUACUGAUCUGGUCAUAGUCAUAAAUAACAAUGAACAGAACCUCUAUAAAAGACAUCCAAGCAAUUUAUAGUUACUUAAAGGAUCAGAUGAUUUAAUUUGGAGUAUAUCACUAUAAAAUAUUUUAUCUGAAGAUCAAGAUGUUAAAAAAGAAGUAUAAUUAUUAAACCUAUUAACCUCAGUGUCACUUGGUAAAAGUCAGGGCAACGAAUGAGCUCUGUGCUCUAUUAUUUGUUCAAGGCAUUAUAAAGCCUCUAAUGGUCAGUGCUGGUGCAAGAAUUGGUCAGCAAAUACAAUAAAAUGGCUAAAAUGAGUUUAAGAGAGUUCUUUCUUGUUUGCUUUCUAGUAUGAUAAACACUGUGGGAUAUAUAUAUAUAUAUAUAUAUAUAUACACACACAUACACACACAUAUCUAUCUAUCUAUCUCUAUCUCUAUCUCUAUCUCUAUCUCUAUCUCUAUCUCUAUCUAAUCUAUCUAUCUAUCUAUCUAUCUAUCUAUCUAUCUAUCUAACUAUCUAUCUAUAGAUAGAUAGUGUAUAUACAUAUCUCAGGUCAAAAUUUAUCAUUGACAAAGUCAAGGCAGGAGAUUGAGCAGAAAACAUGGAUGAAUACUAUUUACUAUCUUGGUUCCCUGGCUUAUGCUCAGCCAGCUUUCUUUUUUUUAACAUUCUAGGACCCCCUGCCAGGGUGUGACACUAUCUUCAGUGGGCUGGGAUCAUUCCUAUUAAUCAACAAUCAACCCAAUUUCUCUCAGUCAUGCCACAGGCCAAUCUGAUCUGGGCAAUUCCUGAGUAAUAAAAACUAACACGAAAAUAUGGCAAUGAGGUGUGGGACACGUGUGAUGAAGGAAGCAAUCUAAACACAAGAGGGUACCAAUAGUUUUAUUCAAAACACCAAAGUCACAAAAUUGGAAAUUUCAGAAAACUCAAGUUAGAGUCAUCUCUCAUAAAUAUGAAGUCAUGAACAAAACAGGUUGUAGUGACUGCUAUUGCUCAAACCUCAACUCUGUUAACAUUUCCUGGUGUGAAGUUAGAUGACUCAAUUUCUCUUCAUUAUAUAUUUUUUUACCUUAUGAGAAAGAAAUAAUAGUUGUUAUCACACAAGUGCUAAAAUAAAGAACAAUUGUAUGGAUAAUUUAUAUAGCAUUCAGUCAUUAUACAUUGUUAGUGGUUUUUAUCAAGUACUAUAUAUUACACUUUAUUAAUAGGUUUAUGCAAAAUUAAAAUCUCAAAAUAGCCACAUUUAUCUCUCAUAAAUUCAAAUGCAAAAACAUCCCCAAAAUACUAGCAAAAUAAAUUCAGUACACAUUCAAAAGAUUAUUAACAAUGACAAAAAAAGAUAUCUCAGGAAUGAAAGGAUUAUUCAGUAACCAUAUGUCAGGAAGCAUAAUAAGCCAUGAACACAGAAUAAAGAAAGUCAUACAUACUGUCAUAAGCUUAAGAACACUUGAUAGAAUAUAAAUCAUUUCGUGUUGAAAUCUCUCAACAAACUAGGUGUAGGAUUAUAAAUCUUCACAGUAGUAUCAAGUUUGAUAGAUUCUACAAGCCACAGAUAGCCAACAGAGAAAACUGAAAACUUUCAUCCAAAAUGCACAAUAAAAACUAGGAUAUCCAUUAUCACUACUGAUAUUCAGUGUAGUAACAGAAAGCCUAAUCACAAUAAGUAGUGGAGCGAGAGAAACCAGGAGUCUCUAAAUUGGAAAAGAAAAUACUAAACGCCUUCCAUUUGUAAAUGAUUGCUUUUAUACAAGAAAAACCAUUAAGAUUCCAGCAAAAUUGUGUUAAAAAUCAAUUCAGUAGAUUUGCAGGAUGUCAAUGCACAGAAACCAAUGGCAUUUCUGUGUAGAGUCAACAAAUUAUGUGAAGAAGAAAUCAAGAAAACAAUCUCAUUUACAAUAGCAACGAGAAAAUGAUAAACUUUGGAGUCCAUUAAAGCAAGAAUGUGAAUGACACACACUGAAAUCAAAAACCCAGUAAAAGGAAUUUAAGAAACUGCAG